GCAGUCGUGGCCGAGUGGUUAAGGCAAUGGACUAGAAAUCCAUUGGGGUCUCCCCGCACAGGUUCGAAUUCUGUCGACUGCG
rnacentral:tRNA from 2 species